rnacentral:rRNA from 1 species
CGGGAGGCAGCAGUGGGGAAUAUUGCGCAAUGGGGGGAACCCUGACGCAGCAACGCCGCGUGAAGGAUGAAGGUUUUCGGAUUGUAAACUUCUUUGAUGAGGGACGAAAGAAAUGACGGUACCUCAGGAACAAGCCACGGCUAACUACGUGCCAGCAGCCGCGGUAAUACGUAGGUGGCGAGCGUUGUCCGGAAUUACUGGGUGUAAAGGGCGUGUAGGCGGGAAUGUAAGUCAGAUGUGAAAUACCGUAGCUUAACUGCGGGGCUGCAUCUGAAACUAUGUUUCUUGAGUGUCGGAGAGGAAAGUGGAAUUCCCAGUGUAGCGGUGAAAUGCGUAGAUAUUGGGAGGAACACCAGUGGCGAAGGCGACUUUCUGGACGAUAACUGACGCUGAGGCGCGAAAGCGUGGGGAGCAAACAGGAUUAGAAACCCCAGUAGUCCU